ACCCGGGUAGCCCAAUUGGCAGAGGCGCUGCGUUCAGGUCGCAGAGGUUGAGGGUUCGAAUCCCUCUCCGGGUAC
rnacentral:tRNA from 1 species